GGAAUGAUAUAAAAAGUGAAUGAUAUUGAAAUCACACAAUGAGCUGAGAGCUCACAGAGAGAGACGAGAGUUUACAGAGAGUGAGCCUAGAGUUUGAGGACAGAGAGAGGUCCGAGGUUGCAGAGGAGGCUGGAGGCUUGAGGCUUUGAUGAUCUAGUGAGGAAAAUUCUUUUUUAGGGUCUGACUAUAUAGCCAAUUAUCGAAAAGUUAAUAGCAAAUUGGGAAGGAUGUCGAAGGCUCUGAUGAAUUCAGUGCACAAUGCUUGCAGAAUGACAUGGAAUGGUAUGUCGGCUAAUGAGAAAUAAUCGUGGGUAAGGGAAAGAAAAAGAUUAAUGGAAGAGUAUGACAAGCUCGCUCCAGAAAAAAGAGCUCCCAUAUAAGAGAAUAAGAGAAAGGCCAAAAAAAUUGCUCAUCCAGGUACGUGGCAUAGAUGCACGGCACAGAUGUGCCGUUUCGAAGUUUGUUCAAGUUGUUUCACAGCUUGAUGAGAAUAAGAGAAAAGCUGUGGAGGACAUUGGAUUCAAAAAUUUAUUGAAGCUGAAAUGUACAUAUAUGUCUCGGGACUUAUGCAUGUACUUACUAAAGAAUUAUGACCCUGAUAAUUCUUGCAUAAGACUUGAGGACGGAGGCUUUAUAUCGAUACAUUCAGCCGAUGUGCACUCGAUUCUUGGGAUACAAUUAGACGAAGGUGGUUACUUCGACACAGGCGAAACUCAUUGUUAUUUGACCAGGUUUUAAACUUAAAGGCAAGUGAUGAAUUCAAGAGAGCAUUUGUCCUCUUUGCUUGUUCCACUUUACUAAGUCUUACUGGUAGAAAUGCAUGCCACUGGCGCUUGUUGAAAAGUGUGGAUAAUGUUAAUAGUAUCAGUACUUACAACUGGUGCGGUUAUGUCCAUGAAUGUUUGUUGAGAACUAUGAAACCACGUACAAAUGGGAAGCUGAAAAAGUCAUAUGGUGGUUGUUUGAUGUUUUUGCAGCUACUUUAUAUGAUGCAUUGUGAGACAGAAUAUGGAGGUUACCCAGAGGGAGAUAUUAAAGCCCUUGAUUUUUGGAGCACAGAGAUUUUUCGGUCAUACGUAAGAUGGGAAUUAGUUGGUGCCUCUUAAGGCGAAGACAUGUAGUAGAAGCAGAGGCGAUGAUGGUGCAGCCGAAGAUGGCUCCGCCCCUUCUCCAUCUGAUUUAUUAACCUUUGAAUAUGAUGAUUACGAAUGUUCUGACUCAGAGGUGGAGGUAAUCAUUUAGUACAGGACGGUUCCAGCCUUAGAGCUUGAUCGUGCUUGUCGAGGACAGUCUCACCUUCAUCUGAUUAUGUAGGACUUCUCUCGAUAUUUCUAGCAUUAUCUAUUUUCAGUUUUCAGUUUCAGUUGAACUUUUGGUUAGGGGUCCAUCAGUGGAUUCCCAAGUUGUAACCUUGAAGUUUUGGAGGAUUGGAGUUUCAAUUUUCAGUUAUACAUGGAGGAUUUUGUAAUUAAUGUUUCUUUCAGUUUUA